UAGAGGAAGUAAAAGUCGUAACAAGGUCUCCGUUGGUGAACCAGCGGAGGGAUCAUUACCGAGUCUUCGUGCUCAAAACAACCCUUCUGUGGACCUGAAUAAAACCGUUGCCUCGGCAGGCGGCCCUACCUACGGGCCAGAUAGCUCAGCUGUUUCCAGGGAGCAACCCUCCCUGAGGCGCUGGCGCCAGCCGCUGGCCCCAAACCAAAACUCUAGUAACUUUUACCUUCUGAGUUUUAAUGCAAGAAAUAAAGUCAAAACUUUCAACAACGGAUCUCUUGGCUCUGGCAUCGAUGAAGAACGCAGCGAAAUGCGAUAAGUAAUGUGAAUUGCAGAAUUCAGUGAAUCAUCGAAUCUUUGAACGCACAUUGCGCCCGCUGGUAUUCCGGCGGGCAUGCCCGUUCGAGCGUCAUUUUAAUUCCUUCCCAGAAAGGAGCUUCUGUUUCUACAGAGGUUUCUGACAGGGGUGUUGGCACCUGUCGCCGCCUAGGCGAUCAGAGCCCAAAUGUAGUGGCGGACGCGCAAGCGGCCCCUAGCGCAGUAGCAAACAAACUUCGCUCAGGAGGCUCGUAGCAGCGGACCACAGCCUAACGCAAAGCUCUUUUUGUUUUUGCAAUAAAAACUGACCUCUAGAGGAAGUAAAAGUCGUAACAAGGUCUCCGUUGGUGAACCAGCGGAGGGAUCAUUACCGAGUCUUCGUGCUCAAAACAACCCUUCUGUGGACCUGAAUAAAACCGUUGCCUCGGCAGGCGGCCCUACCUACGGGCCAGAUAGCUCAGCUGUUUCCAGGGAGCAACCCUCCCUGAGGCGCUGGCGCCAGCCGCUGGCCCCAAACCAAAACUCUAGUAACUUUUACCUUCUGAGUUUUAAUGCAAGAAAUAAAGUCAAAACUUUCAACAACGGAUCUCUUGGCUCUGGCAUCGAUGAAGAACGCAGCGAAAUGCGAUAAGUAAUGUGAAUUGCAGAAUUCAGUGAAUCAUCGAAUCUUUGAACGCACAUUGCGCCCGCUGGUAUUCCGGCGGGCAUGCCCGUUCGAGCGUCAUUUUAAUUCCUUCCCAGAAAGGAGCUUCUGUUUCUACAGAGGUUUCUGACAGGGGUGUUGGCACCUGUCGCCGCCUAGGCGAUCAGAGCCCAAAUGUAGUGGCGGACGCGCAAGCGGCCCCUAGCGCAGUAGCAAACAAACUUCGCUCAGGAGGCUCGUAGCAGCGGACCACAGCCUAACGCAAAGCUCUUUUUGUUUUUGCAAUAAAAACUGACCUC
rnacentral:rRNA from 1 species